GAAAUACGGAGGGGGCAAGCGUUAAUCGGAAUUACUGGGCGUAAAGCGCACGCAGGCGGUCUGUCAAGUCGGAUGUGAAAUCCCCGGGCUCAACCUGGGAACUGCAUUCGAAACUGGCUGGCUGGAGUCUUGUAGAGGGGGGUAGAAUUCCAGGUGGAGCGGGGAAAUGCGUAGAGAUCUGGAGGAAUACCGGGGCGAAGGCGGCCCCCUGGACAAAGACUGACGCUCAGGUGCGAAAGCGUGGGGAGCAAACAGGAUUAGAUACCCUGGUAGUCCACGCCGUCCUCUUUAAAAAAUUUGGAGGUUGUGCCCUUGAGGGCGUGGGCUUU
rnacentral:rRNA from 1 species